GAAAUGCGAUAAGUAGUGUGAAUUGCAGAAUUCAGUGAAUCAUCGAAUCUUUGAACGCACAUUGCGCCCCUUGGUAUUCCAUGGGGCAUGCCUGUUCGAGCGUCAUCUACACCCUCAAGCUCUGCUUGGUGUUGGGUGUUUGUCCCCGUCUCCGCGCGUGGACUCGCCCCAAAGUGAUUGGCAGCCGGCGUACUGGUCCCGGAGCGCAGCACAUGUCGCGCAAACGAGUGCCUUGGUACGGCGGCGUCCAUAAGCCCCUCUCUCACGCUCUUGACCUCGGAUCAGGUAGGGAUACCCGCUGAACUUAAGC
rnacentral:misc_RNA from 1 species